CCUACGGGUGGCAGCAGUGAGGAAUAUUGGUCAAUGGGCGGGAGCCUGAACCAGCCAAGUCGCGUGAGGGAAGACGGUACUUAGUAUUGUAAACCUCUUUUGUCGGGGGACAAAGGUGGCGACGCGUCUACGGUUGCGUGUACCCGAUGAAUAAGCACCGGCUAAUUCCGUGCCAGCAGCCGCGGUAAUACGGAGGAUGCGAGCGUUAUCCGGAUUUAUUGGGUUUAAAGGGUGCGCAGGCGGGAGAUCAAGGUUGCGGUAAAAUGUCGGGGCGCAACCCCGGCCGGCCGUGGAAACUGGGGUUCUUGAGUUGGAGGAAGGUAGGCGGAAUUCGUGGUGUAGCGGUGAAAUGCUUAGAUAUCACGAAGAACUCCGAUUGCGAAGGCAGCAUGCCGGCUCCAUACUGACGCUGAGGCACGAAAGCGUGGGGAUCGAACAGGAUUAGAUACCCCAGUAGUC
rnacentral:rRNA from 1 species